ACUGCGGAAUAAGGGCAAAGCCAGAGGCAGAAACACACCGGGCUUUUUCAAAGGGCAGAGAGGAGGCCAGUCUGGCGAGAGCCAAAGGAGCAAGGUGGAGAAUAUUCGCAGAUGAGUUUACAGAGGUACUGAGGGCUGAGGGUACAGUGCUUUGAGGGCCAGUAAGAAUUCUGACUGUUGUUGAGUUUGGUGGGGGCCAUCUGAGUGGAGUGACAUGAUCUGAUUUAUAUUUUAAAGGAUCACCCGGCUGUCUCCCAAAUGGACUGUAAGCAGAUAAGGACAGAAGCAAAGAAAGAGACCAUUCAGAGGCUACGACAGCAACCCAGGUUGGGAAGCAGGCUCAGAGAAGAAGAAAUUGCCCAUGUUCAUAUGAUGACUCCAUGAGAAGAAAUGGAGACUCUGAGAAGUCACCUGUGGUCACGCAGAAGGGGGUACGCUGGGUUUUGAACCGAGGCAGUCUGCCUCCAUGCUCCAUGCUCUCCCCCACAGCAUAUAUAAUGUACUGGUCCAGCGCCCCUGUUUGCAGGAAUAACCUUCCCCUGUCGAGGGCCUGCCGAUGUGUGUGCCAUCCCCUGACACUCUACGUGAAUCGCACGACAACCCUGGCAGGUGCAGAUGCUCAUCUGAUGGACCUGACCCAGUCUGAGGUCAUGGGUUGCCCAACCAGCCGUCCAGAGCCUGACUUGGCUUGAGAAGUGUCCAGACCAAGGCCGGGAGAAGUCAAGGGCUUGGCAAGCACCAGACAUGCCUGACUCCAACCAGGGGGUCAUGUGAAGCUUGUGACCCGUGGGCCCGGCGUGCCUCAAGGAGACAGAGACUUCUGUUACUCUGUGUGCCAGGCUUUUUGCUCACAAACCUUGGAAUCAGGGCCCAGAAUAAGGCUGGCCACCUCUCUGAGCUUAAGAUAAAGACGUGCAUGGGGCUAGUUGUGCUGUUUUCCCACAAGAAGUGAGAGCCCAGCUGUGUUUUUCUGGUCACACACUGAUUUUUAAAUCUGAGUCAGCAUGACUGCUUGGAGGUAUGGGCUGUCCUAUCUAUUCCCAGGGGCCCCAGAUCCCAGCUGGGCUGAAGCAUUUCCAAAACAGGGCCUGGAAUGGUAAGGGACCAGCAAGGGUGGAGAUUCCGUAUCCCCUACCCCACCAGGACCAGCUUAAGAGC